ACGGAAGGCAGCAGUGGGGAAUAUUGGCAAUGGGCGAAAGCCUGACCCAGCAACGCCGCGUGAAGGAAGAAGGCCUUCGGGUUGUAAACUUCUUUUAUCAGGGACGAAGGAAGUGACGGUACCUGAUGAAUAAGCCACGGCUAACUACGUGCCAGCAGCCGCGGUAAUACGUAGGUGGCAAGCGUUAUCCGGAUUUACUGGGUGUAAAGGGCGCGUAGGCGGGGAUGCAAGUCAGGUGUGAAAUCUAUGGGCUUAACCCAUAAACUGCACUUGAAACUGUAUCUCUUGAGUGUCGGAGAGGUAGAUGGAAUUCCUAGUGUAGCGGUGAAAUGCGCAGAUAUUAGGAGGAACACCAGUGGCGAAGGCGAUCUACUGGACGAUAACUGACGCUGAGGCGCGAAAGCGUGGGGAGCAAACAGGAUUAGAUACCCUGGUA
rnacentral:rRNA from 1 species